GUGAGGAAUAUUGCGCAAUGGAGGCAACUCUGACGCAGCCAUGCCGCGUGCAGGAAGAAGGCGCUACGCGUUGUAAACUGCUUUUAACCGGGAAGAAACCCCAGGACGUGUCCUGGGUUGACGGUACCGGAGGAAUAAGCACCGGCUAACUUCGUGCCAGCAGCCGCGGUAAUACGAAGGGUGCAAGCGUUAUCCGGAUUCAUCGGGUUUAAAGGGUGCGUAGGCGGAGCGUUAAGUCAGUGGUGAAAUCCUGCAGCUUAACUGUAGACUUGCCAUUGAUACUGGCGCUCUUGAGUGCGCUUGAAGUGGGCGGAAUGUGCCGUGUAGCGGUGAAAUGCUUAGAUAUGGCACAGAACACCAAUUGCGAAGGCAGCUCACUAAGGCGAUACUGACGCUGAGGCACGAAAGCGUGGGGAUCGAACAGGAUUAGAAACCCGGGUAGUCC
rnacentral:rRNA from 1 species